UCUGGAAGCCCUGUCCGUCAGCAGAUGUCACUGCCUCCACCACCUGCAUAUGAGUCAACACCACACAGGAAACCAGCCGGUCGCCCAGAGCUUGAUGGGUCUAUUGUAACGCAAGCUCGGCCUGAGACCCAGUUGAAGCAGAGCUCCUCACACAGAUAUCCAUGAGGACAUCCAUUACCCGCAUGGCACAGCGGAUGGACACAUUUGAGGAAAAAAUGGAUGAGCUGCUCAUGCUCUUAAGGAGCUCCCAGUCACCUCCCUCUGCUCCAGUCGAUGACGUGUUGCUGUCACCCUGCUCGACAGUCACCGAGCUGCAGUUAGACAGGAGUCUCGGUCAACAGCAGAGGAGGAACAAAAUGCAACUUUUCCUGACAACCUUUGGAGGUUCGACCGGAGGUACUGCCAUCCGUCGCAUGCUACGGCGAGUGGCAACCAAUGACGUUGUAACACCGUAUAGCCUGCAGGGCAGAAAGAUAAAGAAGGCCUUCCAGGACCUGACAAUCUGCAGGGUUAUAACAGGCAGGUGUUAUUUUAUUGUUCACAUCAGUAUUAUGCUUAGCUUGGCUGAUAAGAGGUUUUAAUUUGACUUGUAACUUUGCUUCUACUACUGCAGCAGACGUGGAGCACCCCACAGUGCUUAAUGUGCCUAUAUGUAUGUUGUCUCUAUUGUACAGUGUGUGUCUAUAUGGCCAAUAAAACCGAUUCUGAUUCUUAUA